GAGAUCACUCUCAAAUAUAUUCGAAAAGUCACGUCCCUUUACUUCUAACUCUUUUAAGGGAGAAAAUUACAUUUAGUGGUUAUAUCCGGUGUUGUUGUGGAAGGUUGAUGCUUUGUUCUGGAAGUCCUUGAGAAUCUACCAAACGAAUAAAAGAUGACUUCAGCACCACUUCUCUACAAUCCACUGACGAAAAUGUCAGAGCAUUGGUUCAAUCACCAGUUUACACAGUGUGGUGACCUUGAGCUGGAUUUCUACAGGUGUGUCUCACGAGUCGGUUACGGCCGCUUCCAUUUGAACAAAGAAUGCAGCAUGGAGUAUGAAGACUUCAAAGAAUGUGCAGGCAAAAUAAAACAG